rnacentral:rRNA from 1 species
GACGACCGCUGGCGGCGUGCUUAACACAUGCAAGUCGAACGAAGUGGCGAACGGGUGAGUAACGCGUAAUCAACCUGCCCUUCAGAGGGGGACAACCGUUGGAAACGACUGCUAAUACCGCAUACUGAAGGAGGGGAUUGCGUCUGAUUAGCUAGUUGGAGGGGUAACGGCCAACCAAGGCGAUGAUCAGUAGCCGUUCUGAGAGGAUGAACGGCCAGAUAGGGACUGAGAAAGGGCCCAGAGUCCUACGGUAGGAAGUAGUGGGGAAGCUUCCGAAUUGGACGAAAGUCUGACGGAGCAACGCAGCGUGAGUGAUGACGGCCUUAGGGUUGUAAAGCUCUGUUAAUCGGGACGCGGUACCGGAAUAGAAAGCAACGGCUAACUACGUGCCAGCGGCCGCGGUAAUUC